UACGAAGGGGCUAGCGUUGCUCGGAAUCACUGGGCGUAAAGCGCACGUAGGCGGAUUGCUAAGUCAGGGUGAAAUCCUGGAGCUCAACUCCAGAACUGCCUUCGAUACUGGCGAUCUUGGAGUCCGGAAGAGGUGAGUGGAACUCCUAGUGUAGAGGUGGAAUUCGUAGAUAUUCGGAAGAAACACCAGUGGCGAAGGCGACUUACUGGACACAUAUUGACGCUGAGGUGGCGAAAG
rnacentral:rRNA from 1 species